UGGGGAAUAUUGCGCAAUGGGGGAAACCCUGACGCAGCAACGCCGCGUGAGCGAUGAAGGUCUUCGGAUUGUAAAGCUCUGUCUUUGGGGACGAUAAUGACGGUACCCAAGGAGGAAGCCACGGCUAACUACGUGCCAGCAGCCGCGGUAAUACGUAGGUGGCAAGCGUUGUCCGGAUUUACUGGGCGUAAAGAGUAUGUAGGCGGAUAUUUAAGUCAGAUGUGAAAUUCCCGGGCUUAACCUGGGCGCUGCAUUUGAUACUGGGUAUCUAGAGUGUGGGAGAGGAAAGUGGAAUUCCUAGUGUAGCGGUGAAAUGCGUAGAUAUUAGGAGGAACACCAGUGGCGAAGGCGGCUUACUGGACUGUAACUGACGCUGAGGCUCGAAAGCGUGGGGAGCAAACAGG
rnacentral:rRNA from 2 species